ACAGAUCCCUAUAACGGCGAGUGAAGCGGGAAGAGCUCAAAUUUGAAAUCUGGCAGUCUUCGAUUGUCCGAGUUGUAAUCUAUAGAGGCGUUUUCCGUGCCGGACCGUGUCCAAGUCUCCUGGAAAGGAGUAUCAAAGAGGGUGAUAAUCCCGUACUUAACACGACCACCGGUGCUCUGUGAUACGUCUUCUACGAGUCGAGUUGUUUGGGAAUGCAGCUCAAAAUGGGUGGUGAAUUCCAUCUAAAGCUAAAUAUUGGCGAGAGACCGAUAGCGAACAAGUACCGUGAGGGAAAGAUGAAAAGCACUUUGGAAAGAGAGUUAAACAGUACGUGAAAUUGUUGAAAGGGAAACGAUUGAAGUCAGUCGUGUUCUUUGGAUUCAGCCAGUUCUGCUGGUCUACUUCCUUUGAACGGGUCAACAUCAGUUUUGUCCGGUGGAUAAAGGCAGUAGGAAUGUAGCUUCUCCGGAAGUGUUAUAGCCUAUUGUCACAUACACUGGGUGAGACUGAGGACUGCAGCUCGCCUUUAUGGCCGACCUUCGGGUACGUUCGAGCUUAGGAUGUUGACAUAAUGGCUUUAAACGACCGUCUUGAACAGA
rnacentral:rRNA from 1 species